rnacentral:rRNA from 1 species
AUGUAGUGCCUACAAUGUUAAUGCACAUGAUCCCAUUAUAAAUAUGUAGUUAAGUGUGCUUGAGCUAGAGUAGUAUUGGGAUGGGUGACCUCCUGGGAAGUCCUAGUGUUUUAUGUG